rnacentral:rRNA from 1 species
GCACAAGCGGUGGAGCAUGUGGUUAAUUCGAAGCAACGCGAAGACCUUACCAGGCCUUGACAUGCUAGGGAACCCGGGUGAAAGCCUGGGGUGCCCCGCGAGGGGAGCCCUAGCACAGGUGCUGCAUGGCCGUCGUCAGCUCGUGCCGUGAGAUGUUGGGUUAAGUCCCGCAACGAGCGCAACCCUUGUCUUUAGUUGCCAUCAUUCAGUUGGGCACUCUAAAGAGACUGCCGGUGUCAAACCGGAGGAAGGUGGGGAUGACGUCAAGUCCUCAUGGCCUUUAUGACCAGGGCUACACACGUACUACAAUGGCCGGUACAAAGGGCAGCCACUUAGCGAUAAGGAGCCAAUCCCGUAAAGCCGGUCUCAGUCCGGAUUGGAGUCUGCAACUCGACUCCAUGAAGUUGGAAUCGCUAGUAAUCGCAGAUCAGCACGCUGCGGUGAAUACGUUCCCGGGCCUU